rnacentral:misc_RNA from 1 species
GAUGAAGAACGCAGCGAAAUGCGAUACUUGGUGUGAAUUGCAGAAUCCCGUGAACCAUCGAGUCUUUGAACGCAAGUUGCGCCUCAAGCCAUUAGGUUGAGGGCACGUCUGCCUGGGCGUCACAUAUCGUUGCCUGAUGCCAGUUUCCUCGUGAUGGGUGACUGUGCAGGGCGAAUGAUGGCUUCCCGUGAGCAUUGUUGCCUCAUGGUUGGUUGAAAAUUGAGUCCUUGGUGGGGAGCGCUGUGAUAGAUGGUGGUUGAGUGACGAACGAGACCCAAUCAUGUGAGACCCCUACCGAAUUUGGCCUUCAUGACCCACAUGCGUCUUUGGAACGCUCAUGACGAGACCUCAGGUCAGGCGGGGCUACCCGCUGAGUUUAAGCAUAUCAAUAAGCGGAGGA